rnacentral:rRNA from 1 species
AGUGAACGCUGGCGGCGUGCAUAAUACAUGCAAGUCGAACGGAGUGGCGCACGGGUGAGUAAUGUAUAGCUAAUCUGCCCUACACUAGAGGACAACAGUUGGAAGCGACUGCUAAUACUCUCUAGUGUAGACUGAGGCUAUUUUGUAUCAGUUAGCUGGUGAGGUAAUGGGUUACCAAGGCUAUGACGCAUAACUGGUCUGAGAUGAUGAUCAGUCACACUGGAACUGAGCCACGGUCCAGUCUCCUACGUGGGGCAGCAGUAGGGAAUAUUGCUCAAUGCGUGCAACCCUGAAGCAGCAACGCCGCGUGGAGGAUGACACUUUUCGGAGCGUAAACUCCUUUUGUUAGGGAAGCGGUACCUAACGAAUAAGCACCGGCUAACUCCGGGCCAGCAGCCGCGGUAAUUC